rnacentral:tRNA from 1 species
GGGGUUGUGGCUCAGUGGUAGAGCGCUUGCCUUGCACGUGGGGGACCCUGAGUUCGAUCCUUAGCAUCACAU